rnacentral:tRNA from 2 species
GGGCCGUUAGCUUAGGCGGAUGAGCCGUUGACGCCUAAUCAACGAGACAGAGGUUUGCCCCCUGUACGGCCCGCCA